ensembl:lncRNA
UGUCCAUUAGCUAAGCUAUAUUAUAAGCCAUAAAUGUAACUAUUUAUAAACCACUUUCAAAAUUCGAAAUAAAAUUAAUAUUUCAUAUGAGAUAGCUAAGAGUGAGAAAGCAGUUAAGCUGCAUUUUUACUAGGCUAAAGGCUCCCUUUCACGUUACGUGCAUUUGCUUAUAUUGCUGUUUUACUUGUAUAAUUAUGUGGCUUUCAUAGUGCAAAACAUAUUUAAAAGUAGGCUAUUUAAAUAUGAUUACAGAACCGUAAAUGGGGUAAUACAUUAAAUAACAAAUAAAUAACAAAGCAUAUAUGCAAAUGUUAAACACUAAACGUUAGUUCGAUAAACAAUAGUUUAAUAUUAAAAAUUAAACAGUCAAUUAAUUUAUAAGGACAAGAUAAAUUACUAAUGUUUGCUUGUUUGCUUAAAAGAGAACGUCCAUUCAUCACCCUGUGUCCCGCCGUAUGUAUGACGUCACAUAUCCGCGACACAUUCGUGAAAACAAGAGUUAUGGGUUUUUGCACGCGUUUCGAAGUUGUAAAUCUGAUUAAAGUGGAGUUCUGUAGUACUGCCUAAUACGACGCUGGGAAUUACAUUUCGGAGCUGACUGUAACAGCAUAACAUCUGAAACAUGUCAGACAUCGUAUUGAAAAUGGAGAUUAAAGAGGAAAGUGAGGACACGGGAUAUGAAGAAGCAUACAGGAUGAAAACUGAAGAUGCAAAGGUGUUCCAAGAUAAAGAAACAGCUCAGUUUCAGUGCAUUUUCCACCAAUUCUUUUUCGUGAGUUGGGACACAUGCAAAGACAUUGUGGGUGACUGGAAGAAGCAAAGGAUACACUUGAUGGAUUCUCCAAAAUAUGGCGAAUGAGGGAUUCGAAACUAAGGCUGUAUUCCAAGGAUCCUUCGACCGCUUGAUGACCUGGCCAAUGAGGUAUGCAGCCUUACUAGGAUGCAGCUGUAUGAAUGAGAAGCACUCACUGUCACUGUUAUAGAAACAACUAUAAAAGUAAUGUAAAACUUAUGCAGUUAGGAUGGGGUGGACAAACUUGAGAUUUAUCAAAUGAAGAUCACAAUUAAUCUGGAAAUGUUUACCCAGGGCGGUCCCCUUCAUUGUAUAAUGCCAAAAGAAAUUAAAAAUAAAUUGAAAGAACAAAAUACA